AUUGAACGCUGGCGGCAUGCUUUACACAUGCAAGUCGAACGGUAACAGGCCGCAAGGUGCUGACGAGUGGCGAACGGGUGAGUAAUGCAUCGGAACGUGCCCAGUCGUGGGGAUAACGCAGCGAAAGCUGCGCUAAUACCGCAUACGAUCUAUGGAUGAAAGCGGGGGACCGUAAGGCCUCGCGCGAUUGGAGCGGCCGAUGUCAGAUUAGGUAGUUGGUGGGGUAAAGGCUCACCAAGCCAACGAUCUGUAGCUGGUCUGAGAGGACGACCAGCCACACUGGGACUGAGACACGGCCCAGACUCCUACGGGAGGCAGCAGUGGGGAAUUUUGGACAAUGGGCGCAAGCCUGAUCCAGCAAUGCCGCGUGCAGGAAGAAGGCCUUCGGGUUGUAAACUGCUUUUGUACGGAACGAAACGGCCCUGGUUAAUACCUGGGGCUAAUGACGGUACCGUAAGAAUAAGCACCGGCUAACUACGUGCCAGCCGCCGCCGUAAGAC
rnacentral:rRNA from 1 species